AGAGUUUGAUCCUGGCUCAGGAUGAACGCUAGCGGUAGGCUUAACACAUGCAAGUCGAGGGGCAGCACGGGUAGCAAUACUUGGUGGCGACCGGCGCACGGGUGAGUAACGCGUAUGCAACCUACCUAUAACUGGAGAAUAGCCCUCUGAAAAGGGGAUUAAUGUUCCAUAAUGUUCAGGAGUCGCAUGACUCUUGUCCUAAAGCUCCGGCGGUUAUAGAUGGGCAUGCGUGACAUUAGCUAGUUGGUGAGGUAACUGCUCACCAAGGCUACGAUGUCUAGGGGGUCUUAAAGGAUGAUCCCCCACACUGGUACUGAGACACGGACCGGACUCCUACGGGAGGCAGCAGUGAGGAAUAUUGGUCAAUGGGCGCAAGCCUGAACCAGCCAAGCCGCGUGCAGGAUUAAGGCCCUAUGGGUUGUAAACUGCUUUUAUACGGGGAGAACCCUCCGACGUGUCGGAGACUGACGGUACCGUAUGAAUA
rnacentral:rRNA from 1 species